UACGGAGGUUGCAAGCGUUAUCCGGAUUUAUUGGGUUUAAAGGGUGCGUAGGCGGGGUUAUAAGUCAGUGGUGAAAACCUGCAGCUUAACUGUAGAACUGCCAUUGAUACUGUAAUUCUUGAGUAUAGUUGAGGUGGGCGGAAUGUGUAAUGUAGCGGUGAAAUGCUUAGAUAUUACACAGAACACCAAUUGCGUAGGCAGCUCACUAAACUACAACUGACGCUGAGGCACGAAAGCGUGGGGAGCAAACAGG
rnacentral:rRNA from 1 species